rnacentral:rRNA from 1 species
GACGAACGCUGGCGGCGUGCUUAACACAUGCAAGUCGAACGGAAAGGCCCUGCUUUUGUGGGGUGCUCGAGUGGCGAACGGGUGAGUAACACGUGAGUAACCUGCCCUUGACUUUGGGAUAACUUCAGGAAACUGGGGCUAAUACCGGAUAGGAGCUCCUGCUGCAUGGUGGGGGUUGGAAAGUUUCGGCGGUUGGGGAUGGACUCGCGGCUUAUCAGCUUGUUGGUGGGGUAGUGGCUUACCAAGGCUUUGACGGGUAGCCGGCCUGGGAGGGUGACCGGCCACAUUGGGACUGAGAUACGGCGCAGACUCCUACGGGGGGCAGCAGUGGGGAAUAUUGCACAAUGGGCGGAAGCCUGAUGCAGCAACGCCGCGUGCGGGAUGACGGCCUUCGGGUUGUAAACCGCUUUCGCCUGUGACGAAGCGUGAGUGACGGUAAUGGGUAAAGAAGCACCGGCUAACUACGUG